AUUGAACGCUAGCGGGAUGCUUUACACAUGCAAGUCGAACGGCAGCGCGGACUUCGGUCUGGCGGCGAGUGGCGAACGGGUGAGUAAUGUAUCGGAACGUGCCCAGUAGCGGGGGAUAACUACGCGAAAGCGUAGCUAAUACCGUAUACGCCCUACGGGGGAAAGCAGGGGAUCGUAAGACCUUGCACUAUUGGAGCGGCCGAUAUCGGAUUAGCUAGUUGGUGAGGUAACGGCUCACCAAGGCGACGAUCCGUAGCUGGUUUGAGAGGACGACCAGCCACACGGGGACUGAGACACGGCCCAGACGCCUACGGGAGGCAGCAGUGGGGAAUUUUGGACAAUGGGGGCAACCCUGAUCCAGCCAUCCCGCGUGUGCGAUGAAGGCCUUCGGGUUGUAAAGCACUUUUGGCAGGAAAGAAACGUCGCGGGCUAAUACCCCGUGGAACUGACGGUACCUGCAGAAUAAGCACCGGCUAACUACGUG
rnacentral:rRNA from 1 species